GACGAAGGGGGCUAGCGUUGUUCGGAAUUACUGGGCGUAAAGCGCGUGUAGGCGGUUGUUCAAGUCAGGUGUGAAAGCCUUGAGCUCAACUCAAGAAAUGCACUUGAUACUGGAUGACUAGAGGACCGGAGAGGAUAGUGGAAUUCCCAGUGUAGUGGUGAAAUACGUAGAGAUUGGGAAGAACACCAGUGGCGAAGGCGGCUAUCUGGACGGUUUCUGACACUAAGACUCGAAAGCGUGGGGAGCAAACAGG
rnacentral:rRNA from 1 species